AUUGAACGCUGGCGGCAUGCCUUACACAUGCAAGUCGAACGGUAGAGGGGGCAACCCCUCGAGAGUGGCGAACGGGUGAGUAAAGCAUCGGAACGUGCCCAGUAGUGGGGGAUAGCCCGGCGAAAGCCGGAUUAAUACCGCAUGAGACCUACGGGUGAAAGGGGGGGAUCGCAAGACCUCUCGCUAUUGGAGAGGCAGAUGUCAGAUUAGGUGGUUGGUGGGGUAAAGGCCUACCAAGCCGACGAUCUGUAGCUGGUCUGAGAGGACGACCAGCCACACUGGGACUGAGACACGGCCCAGACUCCUACGGGAGGCAGCAGUGGGGAAUUUUGGACAAUGGGCGAAAGCCUGAUCCAGCCAUGCCGCGUGCGGGAAGAAGGCCUUCGGGUUGUAAACCGCUUUUGUCAGGGAAGAAAUCCUUUGAGUUAAUACCUCGGGGGGAUGACGGUACCUGAAGAAUAAGCACCGGCUAACUACGUGCCAGCCGCCGCAGUAACAC
rnacentral:rRNA from 1 species